UGAUCACCGCCGGAGCCGU
rnacentral:misc_RNA from 1 species